GAUAAGCAGCUAUGAAUAAGGGGGUUUCCCCUUUCGAAUUGGUCUCCCGGAUGAGAGCAGGGUCUUCUGGGUUUACCAAACACUCAAUAAUGGAGACAAUCCCGAGUUCUGCUGCAAGGUGAAGAGAUGAGGAUGCUGUAAAGAGUCAUCUUGAUCUGGAUGGUAAGAAGAGAUAGCUAAGUGAAGAGCAGUAUCUUCAGAUUUGAUUGUGUUGAUGCCACUCACCAGUCACCAAUGGAUUCUAUAUAUACUGCUAGGAGAGUUGUUGACAAAUAUUUCUUUACAAGCCUCUAUGCUGGUGCAUGUGUAAUGGCUCUUCUAGUACCUAAAGUAUUAAAGAAUCUAAUACUUUACUCUGACAGUUCUUGCAGAUGCUGGAAUUUCACAAGUUGCCUCCUUUAGCAGUUGAAAAUCUAGAGAUUCUUAUAGCGGUCUAUACCCAAAUAGCCGGCUCGAUUUACUGUUUACUUUUCCUAGCCAAUAUACAUGGACUAUACACUGACUAUAUACCGUUACAUGCAUAUUAUACAUCUGCAACCUAUUUUUAGUUUAAGCGGUUGUGUGAGCAAUUAUUUAGAUUAAUUCUUUUUUUAAUGAUAUCUAUUGACAAGAACUAUAUAAAAACGAAAAUUUAUUGGGUGACAAGUAUGAAUAUGCAAAUUGUGUGACUCGUGAAUUUCAUGGGAAGUACUGUUUUAUUUUUAAGUUGUUAAUCCAUAACUGUGCGGGGCCAAAACUUGACUUUAGACUUGAAAGACAUGCAUUUUAUUUGGUAUUAUAUUCUUUGCUCAAAUGUUAUGUUAUUCUCCUUUUAGUUUUCUUUCUCUACAUUUUCCUUUACUUUUAAGUCAUUCUUCAAAUAGUAUGUGAGCUUGAACUCUCUGGUUGCACCUUUUUCUCCUCAUUGUUAGUAGUUUUCUCUUGUACAUUACUGUUUACAGCCCUUUCCUGUCUGCGAUGUAAAGAAAAAAAAAAGGUCAGGGAGCAUCUAUCUUAUCAGCUAUUUUGGUCUGUUAACCAAGGAGCGAUGCAAAAUAUUUGUUACUGACGAAAAACAUUUUUCAAAAAAUGUUUUUAGGUGUUUGGUUGGAGAGAAACGCCUUUCGGUAAAGCAUCCAUAGAUACAGAGGCGGAUCUAGGAUUUGAAGGUGGUGGGUGCUACAAUUUUCUUCAAUAUACAUCUUGUUAGGAACGUAUA